AAAGCGUGCGCAGGCGGUUAUGUAAGACAGUUGUGAAAUCCCCGGGCUCAACCUGGGAACCGCAUCUGUGACUGCAUAGCUAGAGUACGGUAGAGGGGGAUGGAAUUCCGCGUGUAGCAGUGAAAUGCGUAGAUAUGCGGAGGAACACCGAUGGCGAAGGCAAUCCCCUGGACCUGUACUGACGCUCAUGCACGAAAGCGUGGGGAGCAAACAGGAUUAGAUACCCUAGU
rnacentral:rRNA from 1 species